UACGUAGGUCCCGAGCGUUGUCCGGAUUUAUUGGGCGUAAAGCGAGCGCAGGCGGUUUGAUAAGUCUGAAGUGAAAGGCUGGGGCUUAACCCUAGAAAGCUUUGGAAACUGUUUAACUUGAGUGCAAGAGGGGAGAGUGGAAUUCCAUGUGUAGCGGUGAAAUGCGUAGAUAUAUGGAAGAACACCAGUGGCGAAGGCGGCUGUCUGGUCUGUAACUGACGCUGAGGCUCGAAAGUAUGGGUAGCAAACAGG
rnacentral:rRNA from 1 species